rnacentral:rRNA from 1 species
AAUUAUGUACAAUGGGGGAAACCCUGAUCCAGCCAUCCCGCGUGUAUGAUGAAGUCCGUCGUGUUGUAAUGUAUUAUUGGCAGAGAGGAAAAGGUACCUCCUAAUAUGAGGUACUGCUGACGGUAUCUGCAGAAUAAGCACCGGCUAACUACGUCCCAGCAGCCGCGGUAAUACGUAGGGUGCAAGCGUUAAUCGGAAUUACUGGGCGUAAAGCGUGUGUGGGCGGUUUGGAAAGAAAGAUGUGAAAUCCCAGGGCUCAACCUUGGAACUGCAUUUUUAACUGCCGAGCUAGAGUAUGGCAGAGGGGGGUAGAAUUCCACGUGUAGCAGUGAAAUGCGUAGAUAUGUGGAGGAAUACCGAUGGCGAAGGCAGCCCCCUGGGAUAAUACUGACGCUCAGACACGAAAGCGUGGGGAGCAAACA